UACGGGGGGGGCAAGCGUUGUUCGGAAUUACUGGGCGUAAAGGGUUCGUAGGUGGCCAACUCAGUCAGACGUGAAAUCCCUCAGCUCAACUGGGGAACUGCGUCUGAUACUAGAUGGCUCGAGUGCAGGAGAGGAACGCGGAAUUCCAGGUGUAGCGGUGAAAUGCGUAGAUAUCUGGAGGAACACCGGUGGCGAAGGCGGCAUCCUGGACCGAGAUUGACGCUGAUGCGCGAAAGCCAGGGGAGCAAACGGG
rnacentral:rRNA from 1 species